ensembl:snRNA
GUGUUGUGUGAAAGGAGAGAAGGUUAGCACUUCCCUUGACAGGGAUGGAAGAGGCCCUUGGGCCUGACAACACCCAUAUGGUUAAGGCAUUGCCACCUACUUCAAAACAUCUUUCCUCUUACUACU